ensembl:lncRNA novel transcript, antisense to KIAA1609
GUGCCAUGUAACUGGCCUCCAUCCCCCCACCGAUGGUCACCAAGACUGCUGAGGAGGCUGCAAAGGACCUCGCGGCCUCACUACCUUUUGGACUUCUCUGGCCUUCACGGGACCUUCUGUGGCAGAAAUCAUUUUCAUAAUCAUGAGACUCUUCUCCUCGGAGUUUCCUUUCAACAGGGUCUCCCUCUGUCACCCAGGAUGGAGUGUGGUGGCUCAAUCACAGCUCACUGGAUGUAACCCCCUGGCCAGUUUCCUCAUCUGCUCCCAUGCUGCACAUUCUAGAAGAGGGAGGAGGCUGCUAGGAUGGCUGCCUGGACUCCCAGGAAGAUGAGCUGACGGCAUCUCCUUGUCAGUGUCUUGCCUCAGUCCGAGCACUCAAACCUGCAGCUGAGAGCCCCAUGGAACGGGGAAAAACAUGGGCAAAUGGGCAGUUUUAACUCCCUGCAAGAUGAGCCUUGAAUCUAAAAUGUGAUUAUUUUGUUAGGAAUAUCAUGAAAUUCCUAGCCAUCAAACACAUACACAUUCUAGAGGCAACGGUGCACCUGACACGUCAUGGUUCCUGGACCGACGAGUCCAGGAGGGCAGACCCAUCACCG